rnacentral:rRNA from 1 species
GGUUAAGUGACUAAGCGUACACGGUGGAUGCCUUGGCAGUCAGAGGCGAUGAAGGACGUAGUAACUUGCGAUAAGCGUAGAUGAGGCAGUAACAGCCACUUGAGUCUACGAUUUCCGAAUGGGGAAACCCACUGGCAUAAGCCAGUAUCAUUGAGUGAAUACAUAGCUCAAUGAAGCGAACCGGGAGAACUGAAACAUCUAAGUACCCCGAGGAAAAGAAAUCAACCGAGAUUCCGAAAGUAGCGGCGAGCGAAAUUGGAUUAGCCCU